AUGUCUUAUAGUUUAAAGGUUAGAACAUUAUUCUUCUAAAAUAAUUAUUUGGGUUCGAAUCCCAAUAAGACAUU
rnacentral:tRNA from 3 species